GUGGGAGGGGACAAUGGCAAAACCCCCAAGUAUUCAAUGACCGACAUGGACAAACACCACUUCAAGACUGUUGGAGAGAUAUUGGCAGUGAGCAUUGCUCAAGGUGGACCACCACCAAAUUUCUUCAUGGACUGGUGUUACAACUACAUGUCCACUGGAGAACUGGACCAGGAAGCGAUCACUGAGACGGCUGUUACAGAUCCAGAACUCAUUGAUUUAAUACAAGAGAUUCGGGCAGCUGACAACACAUCCCUGAUGGAGUGCACAGACAGGAUUUUGUCAUGUGGAUAUACAGGACCAGUAUCCGUUGAAAAAAAGGAAGACAUUUUGCGUGAGGUUACUUCCUAUGCUCCAGCAAAUCUGCUCCGGUAUGAAGCUGUAUGGCCUCCUCAGCUUGGUCCAGAAAGAAAAGGACAUCUGCAGACAGCUCUUUGUCCUUGGAUCGUUUAGCAGGGUGGAUGCUGAUUUCUUGGUGAAGUCACUAUCACCUGUCUUCAGUGAGAAGGGUACAAUGAGGCGUCAGAGAGAGUGCAGAGUAGUCAAUUUUCUGCAGGACUUCAUACAGGACAUGGAGGACGAAGAAGAAGGAAUCAACACGGUUUUGCCUGAAAGCGUUGCCGAGGGUGAAGGUGACAAGGCAGUGCUAAUUAAUGUGGGCAAGUUCUGUCAGUGGCUGACAGGGCAAGCACACAUACCCCUCAGUCACGCAGACCGGGAGGGUUUCAGUAUUACAAUAGAAUUUGAUCAUGAUUGUCAGGUGCGUUUUGGGACCCAUAGCAUCUGUUAUCCAAUUGUGAAUGCCUGCUCGUGCUCAGUAUGGACUCAAUAUUGAAGUCCAGAUUAAAGACAUGUUUUAGUAGUAUUAAUUGAAAUUUGUCGUCAAAUUGAACAUCUUGUAUUGGCAUUGUCUGUCCAGUCAGAGCUUUUGACUCAGUGCCCAGUAAUUGUCCCGUUGAAUGUUUUUUGCCAUCAGUUCUGUCACAAUGUGUUUGGCAUGGAAAUAUUUAUUUCCAACAGAAUGCAGUUUGUUAUUUUCAAUAUUUGAAUGAUGUGAUGCUACUUGUCAGAAGAAUGCUGACUGAAAUAAAAUAACGUCCUCACGGUGAGUGUAAAUGGUUCUGGGUCAUUAUUCUAAUGUUAUAUUCAAGUUAUGCUUAACCCUUUGAACUCCAGCCAUUUUUUGCAGGUUUUUGCAUUAUGUUUUAAUAGGUCUCAGGAGAGUGCAAUACUGACUCUUGUGUCCUUUUUUCAGGACAACCUAUGCAAUAUUAAAAGUAUUGUCAUUUCAUUUUAACCAACUAUAUACGCAAAAAAAUCUUUUUUUCCGCCCUUAAUUGUCUUAAAGCAAAACUCAGGUUUUUUAAAGGCGUGCUGCUGGAGUUCUGAGGGUUAACUAUAAUAAUGAUGAUUGUAAUAAUAUUAUCAAGCUUAGUAUAACAAUGUCACAAUCCACAAAUAACCAACUUUGAUGUAUCCAUGAUUGUCUUUAUUUACAAACCUUUUAAAUAUUAACCUGUGCCAAACAAAUAUUCACGGCAUAGCAAGUACAGUUCCCUUGCAGGUGUAACUGGGUCAUUGUCU